AUCAGCUUGUGUUGGGCCUGUGAUCCAGUCUGAUUUCACAAGGUAAACAUGGUUAGGCCUGGUUAGUACUUGAUGGGAGACAUGCAGGAAGUCAUGUUGGUU
ensembl:rRNA 5S_rRNA 5S ribosomal RNA